UGUCUGAUAAAUUGCAUUAAUAUUCUCCUACACAGUGUUACAUUUACGUGUUAAUAAGACAUUGUAGUUCUACAGUGCCACCUUGUGGUCUGUUCUGCUUUGAUUUUGAAAGGCGUGUCUUCUUCUUCUAAUGUUUUACGGUGCUAAACUUCCUGUUACACGCUUCGCAAUGUGGUGCUGAUGCAUCGUCGGAAGAACGGUAAAAAACUUGUAAACAUAUUAGGUGUUUAUCAUGUUCAUCCAUUUGAAUCCUGUAAGGAAAAAGUUUACAUUGUGAUUUACUUUAUUUUUGUAUUGUUCGUACCUGUUAUUUUUAAGAGCCUUGAACUUUGAGGGUGUGUGUGUGUCGAGCUAGAGAGCAUGCUAGCUGAUGGCAGAACUCUUUAAUUAGUGCCCUUGGAGAGCGGAAUGAGGUAUGAAACUCAAAAAUGUGUAUUGUGUAUUAUUUUCAGAAAAGAUUUUGUUUGUGGAAAAAGAGAAUGUCAUGAAGUUCAUUUGUUUAUGAGUUCGUCACACGUGUUAUCUUGAUAAACAUAUAUAUAUUCUUUCUGUAAACAUUUGUAAUAUAUUGUGUUUAAUUUAAAGAAGCAUGUGAUAUUUUAUUUGUCAUAUUAGCUUAAAAACAUUGUUCAUUCUAUAUUGGCUAUUAUUUAAAAUGAUUUACAUAUGAUGUAAACAUGAUUAAUAUGUGAACAUGAUUUAUGUGCUAAUUAUUUGUGAAACUACAUAGAAACACUUUGUAUUUCUGCUGUUUUUGUUGUAGUUUUCACGGUGUUCAUGGUGCUUAUGGUGCAUGGUGUUCGUUGAGAGGAAAUAAACCGACACCAGUUUGAAACUCUCUGCGUCUUUUGAUUAAUAAAUCCAAGGGGCCGCUACAGUGAAAACUCACUGCUGCACCAGACCUGACGCCAUCACAUUUGAGGUCCAAUCUACCAGCCAGUUUACUUCGUUUGCAUCCAACUCCUUCACCCAGGCAAGACUUAAAAUAGACAGUACGCUAAAGGUACAACUAGAGAUGCAAAAAAGACACUGGAUGCUAAAGUAGCAAAAGGGACGAUUUCUACACACCCAAGCUUACAAAAAGUGACUAAGUAAAUGAUAUGGUAUUAUAAAGGUCAAAAUUAACUUGAAAGCUUAUUCUCAACUUUCUCAAAAAUGGUGAUUAUUUCAUGUCUUUAUGAAAAUGUUUAAAGUGUGAAUUUGUUGUUACUGUUUUAUACAAAAAUCCUUUUGGAUGUCCAUAAUCUGUUAAUGCUUGACAUAAAUAUUACUCUGUGGUAAGGCAUAACUACAGCUUAUAAGUGUAAAUCAGGCAUAGGACAAUAAAAGGCUAAAUUCGACUUAAAGCAGUAGCACAAACAAACAAACAAAAUGUCACAUAAAGACACACCAUGCAGAUCCAGCUCACGUGAGAGAAAGUUUACAGAGAAAGGCCAAGAGAUGCAUGACCAAGACACCAAAAAACGUGAGAGAGCAUUUAACAAAACCUAUGACUCUUGGAAGCUGGUAGCAAGGAAGACUAGGACAAAAUUAAAAACCCUCUGUUCAUCAGAAGAACUUAAUGAAUUACAACAAGACAUUCAAGCAAAGCAUGAUGACGUUAGCCAGCAGUAUGAACCUAUCUUACGGAACAGUAACACCACACCAGAGAUUGUAAAGAAAAUGGAUGCCUGUGGUACGCUAACAAAAGACAUUUGUGACCUCAUAAGUAACCGUCUAGAGACUAUUAAUCAAGAUUAUAAUGAUCAACUUGAGAAGGAAAGGGUAAGAGAAACAUUAAACAAAGAUGAAUAUGGGUCUGUCUUUGGCCACACAAAAACUGAAACGUUAAUCUCAGAGUCACCGGAGAGAUUGAGCAACCACUCCAGCUCAACCAGUACUCACAGCAGCAGAGUAGAUGCACAAGCAGAGCUUGCGGCUAAGCUGGAACAAUCAAAAGCCAUGAAAGAAAUCCAAGCACAGCAAGCACAUCUUCGCAAGUUAGAAGGUGAAUGGAAACUUAAAGAGGCAAAAAUGGUGUCAGAAAUGAAACAAAAAGAGGUGGAAAUGCAGCAACAGUUGGAACAAGAAAGAGCAAAAUUGCAGCAGUUACAAGCAGCAAAAGACGUUGCUAUAGCAGCAGCUCGUGUGAGAGCAUAUGACGGUUUUGAAGGUUUUGAGGACCAUGAUGAGGAGUUUAAUGACAAAACUAACUCUGCUUGCUACAGAAUGGAAACCAAACCUCGAUUAAAUCCUGAUGCAGUAUCAUUCCAACCUCACCAAGUUGCUCCUGAAGUGAUAAUGACUCAGGAGUCUGCCAGUCUUGCCCAAGCAAUCGCCAGCUCAUUAAGCAUGAACCGCUUGCCGAUCCCUGAACCAACCACGUUCAGUGGUGACCCUUUACAGUUUACCGAUUGGAAAAUGUCAUUCAUAGCUCUUAUUGACAGAAAACCUCUCCCACCAAGUGAAAAGAUGUUUUAUCUCAAAAAUUAUCUUGCGGGAGAGGCGCGCAAAGCUGUAGAAGGUUUCUUUUAUCGAGAUUCAGAGAGCGCAUACAAUGGAGCAUGGAAAGUCUUACAAGACCGAUAUGGGGAUCCGUUCAUCAUACAAAAGGCUUUCCGAGAUAAGCUCACAAGAUGGCCAAGGAUCAACACAAACGACCCACUUGCACUACAAGAGUUCGCUGACUUCCUCCAAGGCUGCACGGAGGCGAUUCCAUAUGUCAAAGGACUAGCUAUCCUUAAUGAUUGCGAGGAAAACCACAAGUUACUCAAAAAGCUACCAGAAUGGAUUGUGCGCAAGUGGAGUCGAAUUAUUGUAGAGGAACUUGACACGUCUGGAAGCUAUCCAGAUCUUGCAUGCUUCACAAGGUUCCUGAGCAAAGAGGCACGGAUAGCUUGCAACCCUAUUGCUUCUCCAUUGUUGAUAAAUUUCAAGGCCAAAGAUGACAAAUCACCAAAGAGAGCCAAAGCUUUCAACACAAAUACACAAACAAAGAGUUUCGCUCCGGAGAAACAAGAAACAAACGGCAGUAAACCAAAACCACCUUGCUCCGUCUGUAAAAGUGAAGCUCAUUACAUCACCCAGUGUCCUGCCUUUGCAGCGAAGAGUAGUGAAGACAAAAAGGUAUUCAUCCAUGAAAAUCGGCUCUGCUUUGGGUGCCUGAGGAAGGGUCACAUGACCAAGGAUUGUAAGAAGCGACACACAUGCAAUAUAUGCAGCCGUCGUCACCCAACCUGCUUGCACGAAGACAGGAAACAAAGACCUGUGGAAGCAACAACGAAUAGCUCCACUUCCGUAGAAAACCAUGCAAGCUUGGAAACGCACAAGGUCAUAUCCCAUUCAUCAACACAACACGCUUCUGCUACCUCAAGUAUCGUCCCAGUCUUUGUGUCUUCAAUACAAGAGCCACACAGAGAAGUACUUACAUAUGCCAUACUGGACACACAGAGUGACUCAACGUUUGUCCUAGAUGAUGUACUUGACAAGCUGAAUGUUGAUGCUCAACCAGUAAAACUGAAACUGAGUACUAUGACUGCUAUUGAUACAAUCAUAUCUAGCAAGAAUGUCCAUGGUCUACAAGUUCGAGGACUGCACUCUAAGAACCACAUCCCAGUACAGCAGGCCUACAGCCGUGACUUUAUCCCGGUGGACAAGUCUUACGUCCCAACGAAGGAAACUGCAUUACAGUGGCCUCAUCUCAGACAUUUGGCAGAUAAGCUACCAUCCCUUCAAGACUGUGAUGUAGGGCUUCUUAUUGGAUAUGACUGUCCAUCAGCGCUAGCUCCUCUUGAGGUCAUCAUUGGUGACAAAAAUCAACCGUUUGCACAGAGAUCAGAAUUAGGAUGGAGUAUCAUAGGCUCAUCAAACCCCCACUUAGACAGACAAGGAAGUCAGAGCUUUGUGCAUCGGCUCACAGUAAAAGAACUGACAAUUCCAUCGGCGACAGAUGUUCUUAAAGUCCUAGAAUCAGACUUCACCGAGAGAACUUAUGAAGAUAAGUAUGUGUCCCAGAAUGAUGUUCAAUUCAUACAGUUCCUCAGUGACAACAUCACUCAGAAGAAAGACGGACAUUAUGAGAUGCCCCUCCCAUUCAAGGGCAACAGUCCACCAUACCUACCAAACAACAAGAGGCUAGCCACAGUGCGCCUGCAGUGCCUUAAGAAGAAAUUAGAGACCAAUGAACAAUACUAUAAUCAAUACAAAACAUUCAUGGAAGAAACAAUUAACAAGGGUGAAGCAGAGCCUGCCCCUACAACAUCUGAGGGAGAGACGGAGUGGUAUCUUCCACAUCACGGCAUCUAUCACCCCAGGAAACCAGGCAAGCUAAGAGUCGUAUUCGACUGUUCAGCCAAAUUCCAUGGUGUUUCUUUAAAUGACACUCUACUGACUGGGCCUGACCUUAUCAAUCCUCUGCUAGGAGUUCUUUGCCGCUUCAGGAAGGAGGCCGUAGCGAUCAUCUGUGAUAUUGAAAGAAUGUUUUAUCAGUUCUCUGUCACUCCAGAAUCCCGGAAUUAUCUGAGAUUCCUCUGGUGGAAAGGUGGAGAUUUGGAGAAGGAACCACAGGAAUACAGGAUGACGGUUCAUCUCUUCGGAGCCGCCUCGUCGCCAGGAUGUGCGAAUUUCGGCUUGAAGCAUCUGGCGCGGCAACACAAAGCUACCUACCCUCUGGCGUCAACAUUUGUAGAGAAAAACUUUUAUGUUGAUGACGGGCUGGUCAGUGUCCCAUCAGUCGAAGAGGCCAAGAAACUGAUCACUGAGUCACAGGAGUUGUGCAAAAGAGGAGGCCUGCGCCUUCACAAAUUCAAUUCAAACGAGGAAGCAGCCCUCACCUGCUUAGAUCCCUCAGAAAGAGCAGCAACCAUCGAACCUCUAGGACUAGAUUCAACCCUAUCAGAGCGUGCACUCGGCAUUCAAUGGUCGAUUGAAACCGACACUUUCAGCUUUAACAGCAGCUUGAAAGAUCAGCCAUCAACCCGGCGUGGUUGCCUUUCUGUCAUUGCCUCGCUUUAUGACCCACUUGGAUUCGUCGCUCCAUUCAGCCUAACUGGAAAGCGCAUACUUCAAGAGCUGUGUCACAGAGGCAUCGGAUGGGACGAUCCACUACCAGAAGAUAUGAGGUCAAGGUGGGAGGAGUGGAUAAAUGGUCUUCACAAGUUGAAAGAGGUUUCAAUCCCAAGAUGUUACCACCCAUAUGACUUCCAUAACAUUGUUAGAGUAGAGCUGCACCAUUUUUCAGAUGCCAGCUGCGUGGGAUAUGGUGCAUGUUCUUACCUCAGAUACCAAAAUGACAGGGACCAAGUCCAUUGCACUCUCGUGUUGGCGAAAGCAAGGGUUGCACCCUCAAAAGUCACAAGUAUCCCGAGAUUAGAACUUGCGGCAGCGGUGGUUUCUACAAAAAUCAGUGUCAUGUUAAAGGGUGAGCUUGACAUAAAAAUUGAUGAAGAGGUUUUCUGGACAGAUUCACAAGUCGUGCUUGGGUACAUUAACAAUGAUGCCCGUAGGUUCCACAUAUUUGUUGCGAACCGUGUUCAACUGAUAAGGGAUAACAGUGAUCCCAGUCAGUGGCACUAUGUGGACACUGCAGAAAACCCGGCCGAUCAUGCUUCCCGAGGUCUUCGUGCUUCAGACAUUAAUUCAACAAACUGGUUGCGAGGACCGAAGUUUCUCUGGGAGCGUGAAUUACAUCUAACACCCAGCACUCCAUCAGAAUUACUCAUUGGUGAUCCUGAAGUCAAAACAAUUCAGGUGCUUGCAACAGAAGCCGAAGACUACAAUGACAUCCUCAGGCGUUUGAGUAAGUUUUCCUCCUGGACAACAAUUCUUAAAGUGGUUUCAAGAAUCAAGAGGCUGGGCUCCAAAUCGAAACAACACUGUGAGUAUGUGACUAUUAAGGAGCGUGAGAAGGCUGCAGAUGAAGUGAUUAAGAUCGUACAGCAGCAAGCUUUCCCUAAGGAGAUAAAGAUGCUUCAGGGUAAAAAGGAACUUCCAAACUCAAGCUCUCUCUUCCGUCUCGACCCCAUCUGGUCUGAAGGACUCCUCCGUGUCGGUGGGAGAUUGAAACAGUCAUCGCUCUGUCACAAAGUGAAGCACCCAGUCAUCUUACCAAAUAACAGCCACAUCACCAAGUUGAUUGUGUCCCAUUUCCAUGCUAAAACAUGCCAUCAGGGUCGAAGCCAGACUUUAAUGGAGCUUCGGGCCAAUGGAUUCUGGGUAAUUGGUGGGAGCAAGUUGGUGGCUAAGCUGAUACACACUUGUGUGGUUUGCAGGAAACUGAGACGACCGACAGAGAGACAGCAAAUGGCCGAACUUCCCAAAGAACGCGUCGAAGCCUCGGCACCUUUCACAUACAGCGGCAUGGACUGUUUCGGUCCAUUCAUUGUAACAAAGGCUCGCAAGCAAUACAAAAGAUACGGCCUGAUUUUCACAUGUCUGUACUCUAGAGCAGUUCAUAUAGAAAUGCUUGAGGAUUUGUCAACAGACUCAUUCAUCAACUCCUUGAGAUGCUUCAUCAGUCUGAGAGGAGCUGUUCAACAACUACACUGUGAUCAAGGCUCUAAUUUUGUUGGCGCCAGAAACGAGCUCAAAGAAGCACUUAAAAAAUGUGACACUAAGCUACUGGAAAUCUUCUUGACUGAGAAGCAGUGCGAAUUUGUUUUCAAUGCUCCCUCUGACAGUCACGCAGGCGGCGUCUGGGAACGUCAGAUCAGAACCGUUAGAAAUGUGCUGAAUGCCACCUUUGCACAGUGCUCAGGUCGACUUGAUGACGCCUCCCUCAGAACACUGCUAUACGAGGCCAUGGCUAUUGUUAACAGUCGCCCGUUAACAGUGGAUGGAAUCAACGAUCCGCAGGCACUGGAGCCUAUAACACCGAAUCACCUCAUUAUGAUGAAAUCUAAAGUGGCUCUUCCUCCCCCUGGAGUAUUUGUCAAGGAGGACCUGUAUGCGACAAAGAGGUGGAGAAGAGUUCAGUAUCUUAUUGAACAGUUUUGGUGCCGCUGGAAGCGGGAAUAUCUGUUGAACAUAUCCUUGAGACAGAAAUGGCACUCACCUCAACGCAACCUCAAGGUGAAUGAUAUUGUCAUUAUAAAAGACGAUAACCUCCCAAGAAACCAUUGGCAACUUGGACGAGUGAUUGAAACUGUUCAAAGUAGUGAUGGCUUAGUUCGUCGAGUUAAAGUGCAAGUUGGGGAUAGAAAACCUCAUAAAAAACAAGAUCCUCCUUCCAAGCCCUCAGUUAUUGAGAGACCAAUCAAAAAAUUGGUGCUCCUCCUUGAGAACUGAUUACAAGAAAGCAAUUGACAACACUACACACACUGCUUUAUUAUGCAUGAUAUUACACACACACAUGUAGUUACACUUCUGAUAGCUUAGCUUCAAGCUAUUUAUUUCUUAGAGUCAAGAAAUCCUGUACAAUUCAUUUACUAUUUGUGUAUUUGUUCAUUCAUUGUACUAGGAUUUGGUGGGAGUGUAAAUGUCUGAUAAAUUGCAUUAAUAUUCUCCUACACAGUGUUACAUUUACGUGUUAAUAAGACAUUGUAGUUCUACAGUGCCACCUUGUGGUCUGUUCUGCUUUGAUUUUGAAAGGCGUGUCUUCUUCUUCUAAUGUUUUACGGUGCUAAACUUCCUGUUACACGCUUCGCAAUGUGGUGCUGAUGCAUCGUCGGAAGAACGAGCCUUGAACUUUGAGGGUGUGUGUGUGUCGAGCUAGAGAGCAUGCUAGCUGAUGGCAGAACUCUUUAAUUAGUGCCCUUGGAGAGCGGAAUGAGGUAUGAAACUCAAAAAUGUGUAUUGUGUAUUAUUUUCAGAAAAGAUUUUGUUUGUGGAAAAAGAGAAUGUCAUGAAGUUCAUUUGUUUAUGAGUUCGUCACACGUGUUAUCUUGAUAAACAUAUAUAUAUUCUUUCUGUAAACAUUUGUAAUAUAUUGUGUUUAAUUUAAAGAAGCAUGUGAUAUUUUAUUUGUCAUAUUAGCUUAAAAACAUUGUUCAUUCUAUAUUGGCUAUUAUUUAAAAUGAUUUACAUAUGAUGUAAACAUGAUUAAUAUGUGAACAUGAUUUAUGUGCUAAUUAUUUGUGAAACUACAUAGAAACACUUUGUAUUUCUGCUGUUUUUGUUGUAGUUUUCACGGUGUUCAUGGUGCUUAUGGUGCAUGGUGUUCGUUGAGAGGAAAUAAACC